rnacentral:rRNA from 1 species
AUCAUUACAGAGUUACUACUCCAAACCCAUUGUGAACCUUACCUAUGUUCUGUUGCCUCGGCGGCGUCGGUCAGCGCCCCUCUGAGAAGAGGACGAUGCCCCUCCCGCCGGCAGCACCAAACUCUUGAAUUUUACAGCGGAUUACAGUUCUGAUUUGAAAACAAAAAACAAGUUAAAACUUUCAACAACGGAUCUCUUGGUUCUGGCAUCGAUGAAGAACGCAGCGAAAUGCGAUAAGUAAUGUGAAUUGCAGAAUUCAGUGAAUCAUCGAAUCUUUGAACGCACAUUGCGCCCGGCAGUAAUCUGCCGGGCAUGCCUGUCCGAGCGUCAUUUCAACCCUCGAACCUCCGUUUCCUCAGGGAAGCCCAGGGUCGGUGUUGGGGCGCUACGGCGAGUCUUCGCGACCCCCGUAGGCCCUGAAAUACAGUGGCGGUCCCGCCGCGGUUGCCUUCUGCGUAGUAAGUCUCUUUUGCAAGCUCGCAUUGGGUCCCGGCGGAGGCCUGCCGUCAAACCACCUAACAACUCCAGAUGGUUGACC